GGUAGUCCAUGCAGUAAACGAUGAGUGCUAGAUGUUGGGAAUUUAAAUUUCCAGUAUCGCAGUUAACGCGUUAAGCACUCCGCCUGGGAAGUACGGCCGCAAGGCUAAAACUCAAAUGAAUUGACGGGGACCCGCACAAGCGGUGGAUCAUGUGGUUUAAUUCGAAGAUACGCGAAGAACCUUACCGGCUCUUGACAUUCCAAUCGCGGACUUAAGAGAUUAAGUCUUUCACUUCGGGUGGAUUGGAUACAGGUGCUGCAUGGCUGUCGUCAGCUCGUGUCGUGAGAUGUUGGGUUAAGUCCCGCAACGAGCGCAACCCUUACCUUCAAUUGCCAGCACAUUAUGGUGGGAACUUUGAAGGAACUGCCGGUGAUAAGCCGGAGGAAGGUGGGGAUGACGUCAAGUCCUCAUGGCCCUUACGGGCCGGGCUACACACGUGAUACAAUGGUAACUACAAAGGGCAGCGAAGGAGUGAUCUGGAGCAAAUCUCAAAAAGUUACCUCAGUUCGGAUUGCACUCUGCAACUCGAGUGCAUGAAGUUGGAAUCGCUAGUAAUCGUAGAUCAGCGCGCUACGGUGAAUACGUUCCCGGGUCUUGUACACACCGCCCGUCACACCAUGGGAGUUGGUUUUACCUGAAGCUGGUUCGCUAACCGUAAGGAGGCAGCCAACCACGGUAAGAUUAGCGACUGGGGUGAAGUCGUAACAAGGUAGCC
rnacentral:rRNA from 1 species